rnacentral:tRNA from 1 species
GUCUUCAUGGUGUAACGGUAACACACUCGGCUCGUAUUCGAGAGGUCCAGGUUCAAGUUCCGGCGAGGGUA